rnacentral:rRNA from 1 species
GUGGGGAAUCUUGCGCAAUGGGCGAAAGCCUGACGCAGCCAUGCCGCGUGAAUGAUGAAGGUCUUAGGAUUGUAAAAUUCUUUCACCGGGGACGAUAAUGACGGUACCCGGAGAAGAAGCCCCGGCUAACUUCGUGCCAGCAGCCGCGGUAAUACGAAGGGGGCUAGCGUUGCUCGGAAUUACUGGGCGUAAAGGGCGCGUAGGCGGACAGUUUAGUCAGAGGUGAAAGCCCAGGGCUCAACCUCGGAAUUGCCUUUGAGACUGGCUGUCUUGAGUACGGGAGAGGUGAGUGGAACUCCGAGUGUAGAGGUGAAAUUCGUAGAUAUUCGGAAGAACACCAGUGGCGAAGGCGACUCACUGGCCCGUUACUGACGCUGAGGCGCGAAAGCGUGGGGAGCAAACAGGAUUAGAUACCCUUGUAGUCC